rnacentral:rRNA from 1 species
GACGAACCGAGCGAACGUUGUUCGGAAUCACUGGGCUUAAAGGGCGCGUAGGCGGGCUGUCAAGUCUGGGGUGAAAUCCCGCGGCUCAACCGUGGAACUGCCUCAGAUACUGACGGUCUCGAGGGAGGUAGGGGCGAGCGGAACUGAUGGUGGAGCGGUGAAAUGCGUUGAUAUCAUCAGGAACUCCGGUGGCGAAGGCGGCUCGCUGGACCUCUUCUGACGCUGAGGCGCGAAAGCCAGGGGAGCAAACGGGG